rnacentral:rRNA from 1 species
GGGACACGUGGUAUCCUGUCUGAAUAUGGGGGGACCAUCCUCCAAGGCUAAAUACUCCUGACUGACCGAUAGUGAACCAGUACCGUGAGGGAAAGGCGAAAAGAACCCCGGCGAGGGGAGUGAAAAAGAACCUGAAACCGUGUACGUACAAGCAGUGGGAGCACGCUUAGGCGUGUGACUGCGUACCUUUUGUAUAAUGGGUCAGCGACUUAUAUUCUGUAGCAAGGUUAACCGAAUAGGGGAGCCGAAGGGAAACCGAGUCUUAACUGGGCGUUAAGUUGCAGGGUAUAGACCCGAAACCCGGUGAUCUAGCCAUGGGCAGGUUGAAGGUUGGGUAACACUAACUGGAGGACCGAACCGACUAAUGUUGAAAAAUUAGCGGAUGACUUGUGGCUGGGGGUGAAAGGCCAAUCAAACCGGGAGAUAGCUGGUUCUCCCCGAAAGCUAUUUAGGUAGCGCCUCGUGAAUUCAUCUCCGGGGGUAGAGCACUGUUUCGGCAAGGGGGUCAUCCCGACUUACCAACCCGAUGCAAACUGCGAAUACCGGAGAAUGUUAUCACGGGAGACACACGGCGGGUGCUAACGUCCGUCGUGAAGAGGGAAACAACCCAGACCGCCAGCUAAGGUCCCAAAGUCAUGGUUAAGUGGGAAACGAUGUGGGAAGGCCCAGACAGCCAGGAUGUUGGCUUAGAAGCAGCCAUCAUUUAAAGAAAGCGUAAUAGCUCACUGGUCGAGUCGGCCUGCGCGGAAGAUGUAACGGGGCUAAACCAUGCACCGAAGCUGCGGCAGCGA